rnacentral:rRNA from 1 species
GCGCGAAAACUUUACAAUGCUGGCAACAGCGAUAAGGGAACCUCGAGUGCCAGGUUACAAAUCUGGCUGUCGAGAUGCCUAAAAAGCAUUUCAUAGCAAGGGCCGGGCAAGACCGGUGCCAGCCGCCGCGGUAACACCGGCGGCUCGAGUGGUAACCGUUAUUAUUGGGUCUAAAGGGUCUGUAGCCGGCCGGAUAAGUCUCUUGAGAAAUCUGGCAGCUUAACUGUCAGGCUUUUCAGGAGAUACUGUCUGGCUCGAGGCCGGGAGAGGUGAGAGGUACUUCAGGGGUAGGGGUGAAAUCUUGUAAUCCUUGAAGGACCACCAGUGGCGAAGGCGUCUCACCAGAACGGACCUGACGGCAAGGGACGAAAGCUAGGGGCACGAACCGGAUUAGAUACC